UCAAGGCCCCGAUCACUCGCUCUCAGCGCAGUGAUUUGUGAGCACACGACGAGCAGCGACUCACAAAGUAGAGCAGGAUUCCCGUUCCCGCGCUGGUGAAAGCCGGGGCAGGGAGCUCCUGUGAUGUUUCAUUAAAGCUUUUCUCCUUCUGGCAGAGCAGAUUUAAUCAGACCCGCCUCCCAGUUCCAGCUGCUGGGUUUGAAGGCUCUGAUCUGUGCGCUGGGUGCACGCCUAAUUAUGGAGGCAAUUCCCAUGGAUACCAAGAAGAAUUGGCUGUACUGGCAAAAAUGAUCCCAGCUGGGAAAACAAGGAAGGAAAAUGUGUUGAAAUAUUCCGGAGGGGACUUCAAAAGUUUCUGGAAAUGUUCCCUCUGCUCACCUGUACAGCACAAGAGGUGUAUGUAGAGAAAACGGCCAACAGCUUGUGUUUCCAUAAGGGCAACACCCGGGGGACGCCUGGCUGGUAAUUCUGGUUCCGUCUGCAGUGCUGGCGCAUGGGACUUCGGUAACUUGCUCCCUUUAUGCCUCAUUCUUCUGAAAUAGGUCGAGGUUUGCUGCCCGAGAUGGUGUUUCCUCACCAAGGUCAGUAAACAACGCAACUUCCACCACCUGUAGCUGCAGAGGGCUCGACCCUCCUCUUCAGCCACUGCCAGAAGCACUUAAUCCUGAGUGAGGUUGACCAAGACCUGUGUUUCAUGGGAUUCACGUGAGGGUCUGCCUCUAGAAUAGAAUAGAAUGGUAUGGGCUGAAGGAAUCUCCCCAGCACCCCCCCUGCCAUGACAGGGACAUCUUCACCAGCUCAGGGUGCUCAGAGCCCCGUCCAGCCUGGCCUGGGAUGUCUCCAGGGAUGGUUCAUCUACCCCCUCUCUGGCCAACCUGGGCCAGGCUCUCACCACCCUCAGGGCAACAAUUCCUCCUCAUGUCCAGCCUGAAUCUCCCUCCUUUAGUUUAAACCAUCACCCCUUGUCCUGUCACAACAGCCCCUGCUCAAAAGUCUGUCCCAUCUUUCUUAUUGUCCCCUUUUAAGUCCAGAAAGGCUGCACUAAGGUCUCCCCGGAGCUUCUCUUCUCUUCUGAACACCCCAACUCUCAGCCUGUCCCCAGCAGAGCUGUUCCAGCCUCGGGUCAUUCCUGUGGCUCCUCUGGCCCCUCUCCAGCAGCUCCAUGUGUGUCUGUGCUGAGAACCCGGGUCUGGACCAGCACCGCAGGGGGGUCCCACAGAGCAGAGGGGCAGGAUCCCCCCUUGACCUGCCACAGCCCCUCUUUGGGCAGCAAACCUGGAAGCAAAGCAGCUCAGAUGAAAUCUUUUCCCUCCCUCUGCUCCCCCUUCAACAACUGAAUCCCAGGAACCAGAGCUGACCUACUUCUCCCUGGCUCCUCACUGGCGUCUCCCUGACAAACCACACAGCCCCUCUUCAGCCCCCAGCAGAAAUGUGAGUUUCCCAAAUAAGCUGUCCCGCGGAGGUGUCGAUAUUAAACAGCAACAGUACCAUCUAGUGACUUAAACUCACAGGGAGCACCAUUUAGAGGGGGAAGAGGAAACCUGGGAAUUUAGGGAGGCCAAGCAAGGGCCCAGAUUUGCAAAUGAGAUCUUAUCUCUGGGUUAAUUUGGAUUUAGAAAGCAAAUUGUGCUGAUGCUGCAGGAGUCUGUAUUUUGGAGAGCUGUGCUGUGAUGCUUCCUUGAGAGAAAGUCCCAGUUUUAGCCUCCUGACUCCGCGCUGAACCCAGCCCUGCCCCACGCUCCCUCUGCUGGUAACGAGCUAAUUGAUUUAAUGUGUUCACAACUUCUCGCACACCCACUCGCGUACACGCCAGCAAAUCCUUGCAAGCGCAUGAGACAAAAUUUAGAGCUAUGGUGAUUUCUCAGUCCAAAUAAAUGAGCACCUUUUUGCUCUGAUGAGCCACUGGUGAAAUCUUGAAUUGGACACACAAAAUAAAUAGAUAUAAUUCCAUUUAUCGCAUCAAAACCAGGCCCAAAACGGAGCAUAAAGGUCUCACUCCAUGCAGAUCUGAAAUUACAUACUCUCCUUCACAGCUGAAGGGAGAAAAUCAAAUUAGAGUAUUUGUUUUUCCAUCAAAGGACAUUAGUCCUGAUACAGGAUUGUUACGCAUCGUCAUCAUUUCUUGUGUGUGGGAGUUGUCCCUGUAAGAAUUCCAGCUGACCGAGACAUCGUUUGGAGGUACCCGGUCAAUGACGGGCUAUGGGGUGUUCUGUGCUUUCGGUGCAACUUUUUCCAGCUGUUUUUCGACACACAUGCGUGUGUUACAUCUUUCCCAGAGAAACAGGCCCUUAUCACAUACACAAAAUCCACCGAUUGAGGAGAGGUGACACAAAACCCAGCGCUGCGGGACUUCAGUGCUAAAACACUCUGUCAAGCCUAUUAAACACCAUUGGUACCGGCAGGAGAAAUUGCUUUGCUGUCUAAUCAAACGUGUCCCCUCUUUGCUGUCAAGAGUGCAGCGCUGCCCUGAGCCCGCUCAGCCUUGCUCGUGGGCUGAUGAGCGCCUGACAAUUUUCUGGUUUCAAAUUAAACAGAAAACUAAAUUAACAAAUUAAUUGUUUGCCGUGUUUUCCCUCGGUCGGCAGCAGCCGCCUCAGGACCUGCAGCCAAUCCAGGGCCCCUCUCCGCAGUCCCCAGCAGAAGGUGGAGCCCUGCGUGAGUUCCUGCUAUCUACCAAGUGUCAGUCAUGUUAAUUUUAAAUUACUUUUGUACAGCUUGGUGUCAAAACGAUUAAAGCAUGAAAAGAAAAACCGAACUAGAGAGAGGGAAGUGGGGGGAGAGAGAGAGAAUGAAUAAUUUACCUUGCAUUUACAGCAAGGACACUUGGAUUUCUUUAACUCCUCAGCUCUGAGAAGCCUGAAACUUUUAUUUCCUCGACUGUAACCUGCUUGGGAGUAUUGCCAACAACUGCUCGCAGCACAAAGCCGUGAUUUUAUCUCAGUUUCUACCCAGCUGGAGCUGUUCUUCCCAGUAGACCCUGAACUACAAAAUUUGGCGCUAAAACCAAUGAACAAGACAGCAAAGACAUCGGGAGGUCACGGACAAACCUUCACCCUCCAUUUACAUUUGGAUUUCAGGUAUAUAAAUGAAGCCAUAUACAAAUUUAGGGAAUGGGGAUAAGGAAAUGAAGUGUAUGAAAGGUGCCGGGCAUCUGGAAUGGGGAAGUUUCUAUGGAAAUGCUUGGUCGCUAACAGGAUUUACGGGUAUCUACUUGCUAUAAUGGAUCUUUUUCUUCCACAUAAUUUCAUUACAUGUUGCCUACUUUCCCUGAGUAGUCCCAGAAUCCCCGAAACUCAGAGAUUCAGCAGAGGAAGGCAGGGAGGUUUGUGUCAAGAGUUGCAUUUCGACACCAGAGAGGAUCAAAAAUUCCACAUUUAAAGGGCGGUAAACUCUGGGAACUGGCAGAGCUGGAGAAAUAAGCUUGAAAAGGAAACAAGGUAGGGAAGGCAGAGGUAAGUAUUUAACUGUUCGGCAGAAUCACUAAAACCCAUAUCUAAUGAACCACACAGUAUUUAUUUAUUGUGCUGGUCUGUGUAUUACAGGCAUUUAUCAGCACGCUUGCUUUCCCUUCCAGUACUUUUGUCCUUUUUUUUUUUUUUGCUGGUUUUCAUAGACUGUGUAUUUUUACUCUCGUGUCAUUAAAUAAUGCAAGUACUAAGAUGCAGACCCCAAAGGCCUCUCAAAGGCCUCCUGGUGGACAGCAGGGUGACCAUGAGCCAGCACUGGGCCCUUGUGGCCAGGAAGCCAAUGGUACCUGGGGUGGGUUAGAAGGGGGUGGUCAGUAGGUCAGAGAGGUUCUCCUGCCCCUCUGCUCUGCCCUGGGGAGACCACACCUGGAAUAUUGUGUCCAGCUGUGGCCCCUCAGUUCCAGCAGGACAGGGAACUGCUGGAGAGAGUCCAGCGCAGCCACCAAGAUGCUGGAGGGAGUGGAGCAUCUGCCGUGUGAGGAAAGGCUGAGGGAGCUGGGGCUCUGGAGCUGGACAAGAGGAGACUGAGGGGGGACUCAUUCAUGGGGAUCAAUAUGGAAAGGGGGAGUGUCAGGAGGAUGGAGCCAGGCUCUUCUGGUGACAACCAGGGACAGGACAAGGGGCAAUGGGUGCAAACUGGAACACAAAAGGUUCCACUUGAAUAUGAGAAGAAACUUGUUGGGGGUGAGGGUGGCAGAGCCUGGCCCAGGCUGCCCAGGGGGGUUGUGGAGUCUCCUUCUGUGCAGACAUUCCAACCCGCCUGGACACCUUCCUGUGUAACCUCAUCUGGGUGUUCCUGCUCCAUGGGGGAUUGCACUGCAUGAGCUUUCCAGGGCCCUUCAACCCCUGACAGUCUGGGAUUCUGUAACUUGCAGGUAUCCUUUAGUUCAGUCUGACAGGAAUGAGUUUUAGCCCCUUAGGAAAGCCUGCUGUUUGGAAGGGAGCGGGAAGGGAAAGGAACAACUUGUAUCCAGAGGAAGCAGAGCAACCCAGGUGUGAGGGCUGCCCCAUUUCCCCCAUUUCUUCACCUGAAAAAACCGACACGUGAGUUUGGUUUCUUUUCUUUCCGCUACCUCAGCAAGACGCUCAGUGCAGGAGGACGGGGCCGGCCGGGCGGUGUCUGGCGCUGUCCCCGGGCCCGGGGGGGCUCGGCAGGUCCCUCCGCAGCCCCCUACAAGCAGCAACAAGCAGAGCUCAGAGUUGGGCGCCCGCCCCGGUACCGCGCCGCACGCCGCAGCCAGGGGGCAGCAAAGAGAGGCUUUGCACUUUUUUUUUCUUUCCUCUCUUUUUUUUUUUUGUUCUCAGCCCUUUGCAGUUGGAGCUUUCCAACCCGAUUGUGCUAAAUGCUUGUGUACCAGUGUUUCCAUUUACAAACUCGGGCUCCCCUCCCCCGCAGGAACUCGCUGCCCUCCCGGCCCGCGGGGGGAACCGAGAGCCCCGGGAACACGGGGGGAGCCGGAGCGGUUCGGGAGGGCCGCUACCCCCCCACAGCCAGGGGGCUGCUGCCCAAUCCCCCCCGCCAAGGCCGGGAUUUGGGGCUCUUCGCCCCCCCGCCAGCUCCCCGUCGGUCUUUCGGGGGUACUGAGGGGCGCUCCCUGGGUUGCGAAGGGGAAAAGGGGUGCUCCCCCCCCCAACCCGGAGCCUGCACGGCGGUUAUGAGGGAGUUUAUCCCUCACUUCUCCAUGCUCCAUCUGCACAGGAAGAAAGGGGUGGGGGGACCGGUUUGUCAGCGGGCUCGGCGGCUGACCGGGCUGCGUGUGCGCGACCCCGGCGCAGCGGCGGGGAGGGGGUUGUGCCGUGUGUCCCCCCCGCUCUCCCCGCUCCCGACCCGGGACUCUUUCUCUCCCGCCCCCCCCUCUCUCUCUCCUAAGCGGGAGUUUCCAGGAAGCGCUGAGAAGAGCCGCAGCACCGCGCAGCCUCUCGUACAGCGAGCUCCUUCCGCCGAGACCGUGGCAGGAAAGCCAAGUAGUCCCAACCGCCACUUCUCCCUCACGCUGCAAAAGGCUCUGCCCGGCUCUCCCUUAGCGGGACGCGGUUAUAGAAAUAGGCAGAAAAGUGUUUCCUUCUCCCGCCCUCACCCCGCGGCCUUGGUCGGGAUAAGUCAGGAGGAAGCGGAGGGGGGGAGGGGAAGUGAAAAAAAACCAAGCGCCGGCUCCGGCGGAGGGAUCCGGCGGCGCGGGGGAGUGAGGAGGUGCGGGGAGCUCUGCGCGAGGGAGGGGGGUGAGCGGGAAAACGCGGCGCGGAGUCGGGAACAGCGCCCCCUCCCCCUCCCGCGGGGGGGCCGCCGCCUCACGGCUCCCCCGGCCGGAGCUGAGCGGCAAAGUUGAGGGAAAACUUUCCCCCCCUGGUUUAGGGACGAGAGUCUGGGGUCGUGCCUGAGCCUCCCUCCGCCUCGCACGACGCGGUGUCCUCCUAGCAGGGGAGCGCCCUCAGAGCAGUUUCCAGGCGGACCCAGCGCUGCCCGUUCUCCCGCAGCAGCGGGGUCGGUGUUUCCACCCCCUCAGUGAGGGCCCGAGGUUCUGUCAGCGCACCUGGGCCCUCCCUCCGCCGGGCAGGCCGGGGCUCUGCGCCCUGCAGAUAAGGCGCUGGUUCACCCCACCCCUCUGGUGGCCACGGGCAACUUAUUGGCUUAUUUUUCUGGAGAAACGGCCCUUGUGAGUUGCCGAACCGCACCGCCACGUUGAGGGAAGUUUGCCCGCCAUCCUCCCCCCUUCCAGCCCCGGAUGUUUGUCUUCGCACAAGCCCCCACAAAUCCCAAAAGCUGCCCCUCGAUGAGAGCUUCACAUCCUCCCGUUAACCCUGCGGGGAGAGCAGGGCAAGAAACUCUGAUCUGAGGCCUUAACACCCCCCAUCCCCUCCCCCUGUCCCAGUCACACAGGCUUCGUGUCCCCCUAUUAACCCUGUGGAGAGAGGACAAAAGCUAAACUAUGAUCCUGCUCGGCUUCCCCCAUCCCAUCCCCGGCUACAUGAGCUUCACAUCCUCCUGUUAGGGCUGAAAAGGGAGAGGGAGAGAACAAGAGCUGCUGCUGAUUGUAAGGCCUCGCUCGGCUUCUCCCCACCCCCUUCCCAGCCCCAUCCCCCACUGCAGCUCCCAUAGACUCGCAUCCCUCCCAUUAACGCUGAAAGGGGAGGACAGGAGCUCUGAUGGGUUUUUCUCAGGCUCACUCUUGUUUUCUCCCCCCUCCACCCAGCAAUACCAGCUCCCCAGCCCUGCAGAAGUGCAAAGCAGGCAGCUGGCUCUGCCAGCACCGCCGCUCAGUGUGCCCUUUCCUCUGAGCUGCACAGCCCUGCGACAAAAAACACCCUCAUUCCCCCUUCGUUUUGCUUAUUCAUUAUAAGGGGGUUGGUAGUGUGCAUUUUAAAACGUGUGAUCUCUUGUUUUGGAGGCAUCUGUGCUUUAAGAAUAAGGUUUUGUUUCCUAUCAUCUUGAAUGUGGCUCUUCGUAAUAAUGUCUUGAAGUGCUCCAUUUUUGUCCUUAAAGUUGGAUUUUAUUACCUCUUGUGGAUCAGUGAAGGUCGGUUUAACCCUUUGUAUAUGAAAAUCAGCAGUCACUUUAGGAAAAGGUUGCCUUUUCCUUUACUAAUUCAUAGUUACAAUAAUAUUUUAUGAGUGAGGUUUUUUCCAGCGCAGUCCUGAUGCCUGCUGAAAGAAGCGUGUGCUUCAGCACUGAUUAAAGUCAUGUAUGAGUUAAUGAGAAGCUUGCAGAGUAUGUGAAGCAAGAGAAAAUCUUUAACCAGCUCUGCUGUUCCUCUACAUACCACAAACUUGUAAGCUGUAACCAGAAGGUGGAUUGAAUCCGUGUGAAAUGCUGCAGUAGGAGACUCUUGUAAUUGCAUCACAGGUGGAUGCUCACUCAAUUAAUGUAUUAGCAUUUUCAAAACACCUUAAACUUGUGUGGGUUUGGGGUUUUUUUAAGUGUUUUGAGACUUCAUAUUUCAAAGUACGUUGAAAUCCUUGAUGAAAGAUGCUACAAGCCUACAAAGUAGUAUUUUCUAGAUUGUUUUCUUAUUUUUAAACAACUAUUUUUUCCCCUAUGCUAACUGCUUUCUAGAUUAACAGAUUAAUAACACAUAAGAGACUCUCAGGUGCUGGAGGAACAGUAGCGGUGGUGUCAAUGUUCUAGUUGUGGGACUUCUAAUUUAAGAAAUGUAUUGUCAUAAGGAAUAAGAUCAAGGCUGAAUCCUGCUUGCAUUUCGGUCCAAAUAUAAAACACGCUUUGGAAGGAGCCCCCAGUGAACACUCAGAGUAAUUAAGUAAAAAUAAAACCUUUCACUUCAUCCCCCUUCCUUUCCCCUUUUCACAUAGACAAGUGAGUGCAACAGUGUUUCCAUUCCACCAUUUUCAUUAUGUGUCCUGAUAUUUCUUAAUUUUGUAUCGCGUCUUAAAUCCUCAGGUGACUUAUAAUUUCUGUGAUUUGGGGCUUUUUCUAGACUGUGCUUUUAAAGAAGUCAUCUCACUGUGGCCCAAAAGGAGCUAUUGAGCAGCCGUUCUCUUAAAAAGGACUGAACUUCUUACAGCUCUGCCUUUCCAAACACCUUUUCUUCUGUAAUUUUCAUACUUAAUUGUUGAAUUCCUUUUUUUUUUACAUUAAGUAAAUAUUUAUCAGUACCGGUUGGAUCUUUUUAAAAGAACAGAGCCUUGUCACUGAGACGAGCACUCCGUACCGUAUUGAGGAGAUGACAUAAAAAAAGAGUGAAAGAGAGUUGUCUUGUGCUGGGAACAUCAAGGCCAUUUUUGGAAAACAAUACUAUAGAAAAUGGAAAUGAAAAAUGCAUUUUAUGCUGGUGGGAACUUGUAACGAGGCUAAGAGAGGAUUUGAUAUCUCAGAAAAGCAAUCAUUACAAGGAAAAAAGCGGGACUUUAUCAUCCAUUUGUAAAAGUUCUCUGACUGAAUAUUCUUUUGGGGAACUGAAAUUUGGCUCAAGUCUGUUUAUGAACAUCUGUUGAAUGGAAUUUUAAAAAGGCACAGAUUAUAAUCCUAUUUUCUGUUGGCUGUUCAAGAUGAUAAAAUAAACCAAAACACAAGUAUCUGCAAGUACUUUUUUUAUAAAUAAUGAGCUGUGUGAAUGUUCUGUAGUCUAUACUAUGGAUUACCUGGUUGUAUAUGUGUUUUCAAUACAUUUCCCUUUCUGUAGCUGUUUAAUUCAAUUUGAAUACUGCCCUAGUAAGAUUUUAAGUUUUAUUUUUUUGUAACGAGAGACUUUUGGAUUUGGUAUCUCUGACAUUUUUUUGCAUAAAGAACACAGCGAUAUAUUGGGGGGGAAAUAUUGAGAGCUGUUGGGUAUUCCCAGAACUGUGGCCGUUUGCUGAGAUUCACAUCCUGCCCACCUGCCUUCUGCAAGGCUUCUGUAAAUGCGGUCGCUUGGCGUCCACUGUCUCUGGAUAGCACUAGUUCAGCAUCUAUUUCUGCAGCGUUUGUGACCUCCUGUUAUUCAGGCAGGUCUUCACUGUAAUUUUCCUUCCUAUUAUUUUGCCUCUUUUGCAGCCUGAUGUUUUUGCCGUUGUUUUAUAUUCCAAGCAAGGAUCCUGUGAAUGCUUCAGCUCAAAAUUUAGGUCACCUCCGAUGGAAGAAGGAAGACCUAAAAAGUAAAAAUAAGGUUUCAAUGUGCCUUUAAAAGUACGACUCUUUUGGAAAAAACCUCAUCUGUAUUUGCUGUAUGGACUGGGAAAUGGAGGGUGCCUUUCUUUAUUCUGGAGUGAAAGCCAAGUAUCUUCAUGUGAGUGUGGUUUCUUUCCCAUGUGCUUUCCUGGUCCUUUUCAUUUUCACACCUGCUUUGAGCUUUAAUCACUCAAAUUAUUCAUAGACUUGCCCUGGAAAAAGAAGAGAGUGACCUCUUCCCAUCUGGAGUAGAUGGAUUUACAAUCCGUAAUUGUAAAUGGACUUGGAUGACUUAAUAAUGGUUUUUACGCUUAAAAUCUUUAAUUCAGUGAUUUCAUUGCGUUUUAAGAAUUCUGCGCCUGGUCUUUUCCGAACCGAUAAGUUGAAGUUACACCAUAGAGAUUUAUUUCUUGCAAAUUAUCUCUUAGCAUUGGGCUCCCAUCUAGAAAGUGCUGAUGAUCCCUCAUCAACUGCUGAGCCAUCAAAGAACACGCGUCUUUUGCAGGACCGGGCCCGUAAGCUGCGCUCUUCUUUUUCCUGUAAUUACAUACAACAUCUUUCAUGACAAAGAAUCUCAAGACAAUUUAUGAAAUCAAAAGCCACAAAAGUAACGUGGUGCUUGUUGCGGGUUGUGUAUUCAUGUUGAUUCUGAUGUAGCAGCCCCUCGGCCCGAGGGUAUCUACUUAAGCCAACUGCUUUGCCAUUCGUUUGCAUUGCUAUAAGCAGCAAGCUGGAGUUGAUAGAAAUCGGUUGCUAUUGCCAGCAACUCUUGUUUUUCUGUUACUGUAGUGGCUUAAUUUAAAUUAUUAAGAAACUUGUGAAUCUGUUUUGUUUCCUGCCCUUCCUAGCAGCUAUCUGUGGUUUUAUGUGUAUUAAACGUGCUAAGCUUCAUCUGGCUUAGAUGUUCAAUAAAUACCUUAGUAGAUGCAGUUAAGUCCAGUUUCCUCUAUUAACUCGGAAAAGAUUUGUUUCUUAUCUGAGUCGUUCCUCCAUUCAGAAGGCGAGAAGCCUUGCAGAGCCUGAGUUCACGUCAUAAAUCACCCAGACAAAUUGAACUCGAGGCAGAAGGAGAUACAAAAUGAGAAUAGUUGCGAUUUAGACUCAGUGAACGCUGUGGUGUUCUACGGAAACAUGCUUGGCGUGAGAGCGACCUGUCACCAAAUGAUCUUCACGAUGGAGGGAGCGCCACGAGGGUGACUCUGUGGGCUCGCGAAUCACGCGGCGUAUUUAGAGAGUUGUCUCGUACUUCUUUGACGCUGUCUUUUGCCUACGGUGCUGCCAUUUGCUCUCCGUUAUGCUUUUUCUGAUGCUCAGAGUGCCGUUAUAUUUUUCGCCAGCUGCAGACAGGUUGUUGGGCAAUUCGGUGUCUUCUCAGCGCUCUCUCAGUUCACAGAACAAGGUCCGUUACUUCCUGAGCCCAAAUGGUGUUCUCUGCAGCUGCAUGGAAGAGCCACCUCAGACACCAGCAGCUCGUCAGCUUCCCAGGUUUCAUUCACUGAGUUUAACCUUUGGUGAUUAGUAAACCAACAUGUUAAGAAAAUUUGUGGCCCAGCUGUUGCUCUUUGCAAUUCCUGAGGCUUGCCAACCAAAGUCUGCACCCUCGCCCGUCGGUGUUUCAGUAUCCACCUCAUAUUAUUGCAGUUUUUGGCUUUUCUGUUGGAGAUGGAGACAUGUAGAGACAUCUUUAAGAUGACAAUAUUUUUGAUGCAAACAUGAACAUAGGUGCUUUUGUAACACCAGGUCACUAGUUCCUCCUUCCCCAUCUCCCAUAUUUGGUAGAAUAUUAAUUGGGAUUAAUUCUAACAAAUUCAUAAAUAAGUGAUGUGUUUUAUAGACCUGUCACUGGCUAAAACAAGUCUUGCAGGAAAAGAGGAUUUCUAAUUCUAAUAACUAAUUUCUAAUUUCUAACUACUCGAAAUACAAAUGUUUAGAAUAGUUAACCAUUUUCCAACUAUUCCUUCAACUGAAUUGCAAUCGUCAACUAAGCCCCACUUCUCAAGUGUGCCUCGCUUCGCCUUUAAGUACAUUAAAGUAAUAUUUGGUGACUUCCCUUCAACAGUAUGGGUCUGUUAUUGAUAAUAUUUUGUCAAAAGAUGAUAAAGACCUUCUUGGUCUUCACCCAGACUCUGCUAUGAUUCGCAGAUAUGUCAUUAUGUCAUCAUGUACUCACUAUAUGAUAGAAGACAGGGCUACCAGACAGAAAUCUGUGCCGAUACAAGAACUCGUGUGACUUGGAGCACAGGUUCCGUACCAGAUGACGCUCAUGUACAGGUACAGCUCAUCCCAACCCCAUAGUAACACUGCGGCUGCUGCCGAUGAUUCCAACUCUCCUGAUUAGUUACCAAGCUGCUUUUUGUUUGGUCUUCUGCCUAAUUUAAACAAUUCAUCCUGUCUUUAUUCAAUACAAGGUUAUUUUCUACUAUUAGCUCUUUUACAGUGUCUUCAUUACUUAUUGAUUACAGUUCUGAAAUAGUUGGGGAUUGAGGGGGUCCUUUUUGAUUCAGAGAGUAUUUGAUGAAUAUAUUUGCCAGCACCUGCAAACUCUGUCCUUGUUUCCUCCACUCCUUCCAUAUUUACUGUAAGGACCCUUCAAAACAGUCUCGACUCCCCUAGUUAUGAUCAGUCUUUCCUUCUGCUAGAUCAGAGCUUCCUGUUGGUAUUUUGUAAUUUCUGAGUAAGGCGAGUCUGAUAUCUUUCAGCUCAGUUGGUACUUCAUCUCCUCUGCUCUCCCAGGGGUCCUGCACGUGCUUUCAGUUCUGCCUCAACGUUUUUGAUUUUGUGAGGUUCCCUACUAUUUACAUUUCUUCACGUAUAUCCUCUUGAUACCAUCUGCUACCUUAUGUUUUGCUCAUCUCUGAAAUUUAGUAACCAUAUUGCAUGCAACGUUGUUCCAGUUUAUUUUCUUAACAUUUAAUUAAAAUGUUCUGAAAGAACAAAGCAAAUUAGAAUUCACCCUUUCUGUGUAGACACCUCAACUGAUGAGAGAACUCAAUAAACACCUUCAAAUGCCCCGACAUAAAUGAAUUUGUAACUAAAAAUUUUGUACAUUUUUUAUCCAAAAGGUAUAUUAUCAAAUCAACUAGGGAGGUUUUAUUACUGACAAAAGCUAAGGUUAAUAAUAACCUUCUUUAAUAAGGAUUGCUGUUUUCUCUAUAAACUCUUUUUCUUUGGAAUUCAGAAAUUCUCCUAAGUAUUUACUCUGGAGUCUGUGUGGCUGUGCCUCGUUAGAUAAAAGCUGCAGUAUUCCAACUGUUGUACUGAACUUGACUCUGACCUACCUUGUGAGGCCAUGCCUACAAAGGGAUGAUACAUCCAGCUUGUUUGUUUGAUCUAAUUACAGCUAUUUAACUAUAUUGAGCACAAGUACACUCACCCCACUUUGUUAUGCUGAUUUAAGGUAUUUUCACUGUUAAUCGGGUGCACGGUUCUUCCUCGUAUUAAUUUAGCUCUCCAAAUGUUCUGGGCGGUUAUCCCAUGGAGUGCUGUUCUGAAUGGUUUUCUUUCACAGCGUGCUGACAGGGAAUUCUCGGGAAUGUGGGAAUUCUGUGGGUCACCUAACAAAUUAUUAUUCCUUUUCUACGGGCAUCCAUUGAUCUUUUUGCCCACACCACUUCCUUCUCAAAAUGCUCAAAGGCUGCAUGGAGAAAAAACUGGUAAAUCCAUUCCAAUGUGUGUUCCUGUGAGGGGGCACGGGUGGAAGGAUUUGGUUCUGUGGUUCUAGAGCUUUUGCUACUUUGAUAACAGAAGAAAUGCACAAAGAAGGACAGUGAGAUGUAACCAACCUGCUACCUGUGUCCAGGAUCCCUCUGGAUUCCACUGUUGUGGGUGCAGCCCACCAGUGAUGGAUAGCACAGGGUACUGGUGCAGAACUGGGGUGCUCAGGAGCGGCAUCAAACACGGGGGUGACAAAAUCGCAUUCCGUGCAGAUCGCUGCAGAGUCUGAAUACAAAACAAAGACGUUCCGUAACACGCUACCUGUGGAAAAGUAUCAUUUCUGAUUAUUUCCAACUGAAAACCAGCCAGUUUUGUGUCGGGGGUAUUGUCACGCGUUUUUUUAUGUAUCUAUGUGAAGAAGGUGCUGAUCUUCUGUGUCAUAAAGCUUGGCAAUGCAUAAGAAAUUACCAAGAGCUUUUCACAGGUACAGUCCGUGGAUCAAAUAAGAGUUAUGGGGGUUCAAGGAACAAACACAGUCUGUCAAGCCAGGAGAAUAAAUUUAUGAACACAGAGAACAACUUCUUAAUAGUUGCACAUGGCCUUGCUCAUCAAUGUAGGUGAUUUACCAUGGAAUGGAUGUAGAAUGAAUGUACAAUCAUCUUACAAAACUUCUCAGAACAAACUCAUUGGAAACUUGAGCUUGCCCUGAUUUGUACAACAUCUGUAAGAAGCGGGGAAAGCACAUGAGUCUUACAUUAUCAUUUUCUUGCUAGACUUUUUCACUCUCCUGCUAUUCACAAGAUGAGCAGAAUAACUUUGUUGAUGUCCCUUUUAAAAUAUAAUAGACAUAGUUGCUAGAGGUGAGAUGAACCCAAGUUAAAUCUGAAAGGCCUGUGAAGAAAGAAGCAAACUGGAAAACUGAAGAUGCUUUUUUGGCUCCGUGUCCCUGGCUGUUGUUCAUGGGAACGUGAAGUGGUGGCAGAUACAAGGGCGGGCUCUGUGACAGCGUGGAACACCAGGCGCUUGGAAUAACGGGAAACAUCUCCAGGGUCGAACAGGUGAGAACAGAAGAUCCCAAGAAGGGCAGCCAUGGAUUGUUUGGUAAUGAAAAGUAUUGCUAAAGCAGGUACGUUUUGUCUGGAGAGAUUAAGAAAUCCUAGAUGGAAAGAAAUGGGCAAUAGCUUGUGCACACUCCAGGCCCAGGUCAGCCCGUGUAUGAUUCACUCUGUAUUUCGUGCUUCUUCACGCUCUUGUGACCCGGAUGAAUUUAACAGGGAACUGAGCAGAGUGUUCGGUUUUCCUAUGGACGGUUCUUACACUUUUGCCCAUCUUAAUCCAAUUCCUCGCACCGUGAUGCAGGCUCUAAUUAGAAAUCAAAUCAUAUAACCUGCCUUCUCAAACCCUGUCUCAUUCCAUGAUUUUUUUUCAGAUUUUCCUUUUAUCUUUGUUAUUUGAUGUUUGCUUACAUAUUUUAUUUAUUGCAUAUAAUUCAAGCGCUGCAGUAAAUACAGAAUUACUAACUGUAACGGAUGUUCCUGACGAUCUUCACUAUAGUAUCUGAAUACGUUUUAACCACCACAAAUGUAUCUUCUCAAUCUUGCAAAGAGGUUUUUCCUCUGAUUUCACUGAUGCAAAGCAGGGAAAUCAAUGGCAAAGCCAUCAGAGUUCUAUACUGUGUCUGUAUGUUCCGCACUGACAAUAAACAAUUGUUUCUUUACCCUUCCCUAUUAACUGUGAUGAAUUCCCAGUUUACGAUCUUUUUGGUGGUUGGUCCCUGUGUGAACAGCCUUGUGCUUUGCAUUAAUCUCAUUACCGCAUUCCACCAGCCCAUUCCUGGGGAUUCCUGUGCUGUUCCAGAACCUCAUCCGGUUCUCCGGUUCUGAUAUUCCAGUUUUCUGUAUUGCAUUGUUGUCACUAACCACCUAUAUUAACACUCCUCUUUCAAUUCCUUGUGCUAAUAUAACUUCAAAGCAAUAAAUAGCACCAGUUUUGAGAUGGGUGCUGGAGGAGCUCUAAAGCUCUCCAGCCCAAAGAUGUUCCCAUUUCAACACAAUUCAGAUGGGGUUUUCAGCCGUUUUUUACCCACGGAACUUUUCUUGCGCUAAUCUUCAUAUUUUCCAGUUUAACUCGUCUUUUCGCAUGUGGCACCACAUCAAAUGCCUCGCUGAAUUUUAGGUGGGUGAGAUCAACUGUGUUUUCCUUUACCAAGAAAAAUCUGCUUUCUUAUCAAAGCAAAACAUCAGAUUUGUCUGGCGUGAUUGCCUUUGUUAAACCUAGGUUGCAUUUUAUUUGGUUAUUUUCCUCUACAUCUUUCCCCCCUCCAGGGGAAAAAUAACUUAAAUUUUACAUCUCAUUGAGGUCGGGCUAAUUAGUUUCUAGUUGGCCAUUACUUUCCAAGACUUUGUAGGAUGUCAAUUUUAGAUUAUUUCUGUACCCCUAGAAGCGUUAGUAAGAAAAACCCACUUAUUUGCAUCACGACUCAACUAUAGCUUCAUGUUUUAUUUGUUGAAGGGGUUUUUUUUUGCAUUUUCAAAGGUGCUGCAUUGUGGCUAUUGAUGCAGGAAAAGUCGUGAGUUUUGAAGUAUUGCAAAGUCCUUAAAAACACCCUAAGAAGCUUCUUAACGGACGACAGCUGAACCCAGGACUCCGUGAUCCUGUUGGUCACACCAGCGGAUUGUUACACCGAUCACUGACAUCCCGAAGUUUCGUUCUUCAUGUCGCUUCACUAUAAUUUCCUGCUGUCUUUCCUGUGUUUAAACAGAAAGUGAAGUGUUGUGACGACUCCACACGUAUGUGUGCAGUAGUCCUUAAGAAAUACAGUCUAAAAAUAGACAAAAUAAGUGAAACAAUACAAUAAGAAGGUGAAUCUGGAGGGUCAGAUGAUUACGUGGACCCAUGCCACUGAAAACCUAGCUGUUUCGUUAUGUCUCCUGGAGGUAGGAAAAAUGGUUACUUUUAAACACUUUGGUUCCUAAAAUAUGUCAUUACACUCCUUACCAGCACAUAUAAUGAUUAUGAAUCUUUCUGAGCACGUUUCGCUCAGGUACCUUGUUAUAAAUAUAGGAAUGGAAGCAACAACCCUUGAAGGUUUGAGGGUUUUGUUGGUUGUUUUUUAAUAAAUAUUUGAAAAUUA